rnacentral:rRNA from 1 species
AUGAUAUCAGCCCAAGUAUUAAUAACGCGACCUUGACUAUCAACUACAGAUUGGUUGAAAUUGAAACCAUUUAGGUUGAAAGCCAUAGUACUAAUACCUAAAGCAGUGAACCAGAUUCAGACAGAGACACAUCCGGACAUGUGCUCGGACCUUUGGUGA